rnacentral:rRNA from 1 species
CCUACGGGAGGCAGCAGUAGGGAAUCUUCCGCAAUGGACGAAAGUCUGACGGAGCAACGCCGCGUGAACGAUGAAGGCCUUCGGGUCGUAAAGUUCUGUUGUCAGGGAAGAACAAGUAUCGGAGUAACUGCCGGUACCUUGACGGUACCUGACCAGAAAGCCACGGCUAACUACGUGCCAGCAGCCGCGGUAAUACGUAGGUGGCAAGCGUUGUCCGGAAUUAUUGGGCGUAAAGCGCGCGCAGGCGGUUCCUUAAGUCUGAUGUGAAAGCCCCCGGCUCAACCGGGGAGGGUCAUUGGAAACUGGGGAACUUGAGUGCAGAAGAGGAGAGCGGAAUUCCACGUGUAGCGGUGAAAUGCGUAGAGAUGUGGAGGAACACCAGUGGCGAAGGCGGCUCUCUGGUCUGUAACUGACGCUGAGGCGCGAAAGCGUGGGGAGCGAACAGGAUUAGAUACCCUGGUAGUCCACGCCGUAAACGAUGAGUGCUAAGUGUUAGAGGGUUUCCGCCCUUUAGUGCUGCAGCAAACGCAUUAAGCACUCCGCCUGGGGAGUACGGCCGCAAGGCUGAAACU